AACGAACGCUGGCGGCGUGCUUAACACAUGCAAGUCGAAACGCGAAAGGGACUUCGGUCCUGAGUAAAGUGGCGGCACGGGUGAGUAACGCGUAGAUAACCUGUCUUCAUGUCUGGAAUAAUACGCCAAAGGGGUACUAAUACCGGAUAUUCUUGCUUUUCAUAAGUUAUGCAAGCAAAGGUGGCCUCUGCAUAUGCUACUGCAUGAAGAGGGGUCUGCGUACCAUUAGCUAGUAGGUGGGGUAAUGGCCUACCUAGGCGACGAUGGUUAGCGGGUCUGAGAGGAUGAUCCGCCACACUGGCACUGGAACACGGGCCAGACUCCUACGGGAGGCAGCAGUGAGGAAUAUUGCGCAAUGGGGGAAACCCUGACGCAGCGACGCCGCGUGAGUGAGGAAAAGGCCUUCGGGUCGUAAAGCUCUGUCAAGAGGAAAGAAGUGUACAAUGGCUAAUACCUGUUGUAUUUGACGGUACCUCUAAAGGAAGCACCGGCUAACUCCGUGCCAGCAGCUGC
rnacentral:rRNA from 1 species